CCUACGGGAGGCAGCAGUGGGGAAUUUUGGACAAUGGGGGAAACCCUGAUCCAGCCAUGCCGCGUGAGUGAAGAAGGCCUUCGGGUUGUAAGGCUCUUUCGGCUGGGAAGAAAUCGCACAGGCUAAUACUCUGUGUGGAUGACGGUACCAGCACAAGAAGCACCGGCUAACUACGUGCCAGCAGCCGCGGUAAUACGUAGGGUGCGAGCGUUAAUCGGAAUUACUGGGCGUAAAGCGUGCGCAGGCGGUUGUGCAAGACAGAUGUGAAAUCCCCGGGCUCAACCUGGGAACUGCAUUUGUGACUGCACGACUAGAGUACGGCAGAGGGGGGUAGAAUUCCACGUGUAGCAGUGAAAUGCGUAGAGAUGUGGAGGAAUACCGAUGGCGAAGGCAGCCCCCUGGGUCGAUACUGACGCUCAUGCACGAAAGCGUGGGGAGCAAACAGGAUUAGAUACCCUGGUAGUCCACGCCCUAAACGAUGUCAACUAGUUGUUGGUAGGGUUAAACCUAUUAGUAACGUAGCUAACGCGUGAAGUUGACCGCCUGGGGAGUACGGUCGCAAGAUUAAAACUCAAAGGAAUUGACGG
rnacentral:rRNA from 1 species